AAACUUUCUAACUCAGCAAAUAAGAACAGGAAUAGUGCAAUGCAGAUGCACAUUCAGACUGAGUUGUCCCUGUGCUUUUCAAUUCAUCAUGGCAGCUUCACUGGCAGUUUCUGUUCCCUUUAUC